AUGAAUUCCCAAGCUCUGGUCCUCCCCAGCUCUGCUUCCGGCUCAGAGACAGCCAUAAUCAACAGAACAAAUGGCUUGGGUUUUGAUACUUCUCCAGUAAUGAAGACCCCUCCCAAGCUGGAGGGUGAUGCUACUGAUGGCUCCUUUGCCAGUAAGCAUGGCCGCCAUGUCAUUGGCCACAUUGAUGACUACAGUGCCCUAAGACAGCAGAUUGCGGAGGGUAAGCUGCUGGUCAAAAAGAUAGUGUCUCUUGUGAGAUCAGCGUGCAGCUUCCCUGGCCUUGAAGCCCAAGGCACAGGGGUGCUAGGCAGCAAAGGUAUUCAUGAGCUUCGGAGCAGCACCAGUGCCCUGCACCAUGCCCUAGAGGAGUCGGCUUCCCUCCUCACCAUGUUCUGGAGAGUGGCCCUGCCAAGCACCCACAUCCCUGUGCUGCCUGGCAAAGUGGUAAGAUACCAGUGUCCUUUCUUGGUUCAAACCCAGUUCUCCUGCCCUCCAAUACUGUUCUGUCUCCUCAAUGUCACAGCUUUUCCAGAAAAUCAGGAGCCACAUAGUGAAUUGGGAUAGACACGAACUUAGAGGAGUGUCCCUGGAGGGACAUCUCUGACCCACAGUCACUGUUUUCAUUGCAGCUCUAAAUACAUCCCAUUCCACACCAGCCCCCUGGCCCCUGGAUAAGAAACCAAAGAAGAAGAGGAAGGAGUGUGGAGAAGGCGGAGACAUCAGAACCCUGGCAAUCCAUAAAUGUUCAGUUUCUUUACCUCUCUGAAGUUUGGAUGAGCUG
rnacentral:lncRNA from 1 species